CUACAACCCUUUGUGAACAUACCUAUAAGUUGCUUCGGCGGGUAGGGUCUCCGUGACCCUCCCGGCCUCCCGCCCCCGGGCGGGUCGGCGCCCGCCGGAGGAUAACCAAACUCUGAUUUAACGACGUUUCUUCUGAGUGGUACAAGCAAAUAAUCAAAACUUUUAACAACGGAUCUCUUGGUUCUGGCAUCGAUGAAGAACGCAGCGAAAUGCGAUAAGUAAUGUGAAUUGCAGAAUUCAGUGAAUCAUCGAAUCUUUGAACGCACAUUGCGCCCGCCAGCAUUCUGGCGGGCAUGCCUGUUCGAGCGUCAUUUCAACCCUCAAGCUCUGCUUGGUGUUGGGGCCCUACAGCUGAUGUAGGCCCUCAAAGGUAGUGGCGGACCCUCCCGGAGCCUCCUUUGCGUAGUAACUUUACGUCUCGCACUGGGAUCCGGAGGGACUCUUGCCGUAAAACCCCCAAUUUUCCAAAGGUUGACCUCGGAUCAGGUAGGAAUACCCGCUGAACUUA
rnacentral:rRNA from 1 species